CACCCCCCAUUGACUCGAGGUAAACAAAGCACUCAUGUUUUAACAACAUGGCGGUUCAGUGAGCUGUGCUGGCAACACAUUUAGAUAUUAAUCUCUGAUUUGCAGUCUUUGAGAACUACUCAGUGCUGCAUUUUCGGAAAAAAUAUUGUAUUCUACUGCUGAAAAGAUAACGGAUUUUCGGUGUCUAGUUGUCCGUUAAUGUCACCGACAAAAUGAGCAACAUUUACAUUCAAGAGCCUCCAACAAAUGGAAAGGUUCUGAUCAAGACCUCAGCUGUUGACAUCGAUAUUGAGCUGUGUUCCAAAGAGGCUCCCAAGGCCUCCAGAAACUUUGUCCAGUUAUGCAUGGAAGAUAAGGACUGAGUGCCUGAUAAUAUCUACUAGCAGGCUACUAUGAGGGAACACCAUUCCAUAGAGUGGUGCCAGAGUUCAUUGUCCAAGGAGGAGAUCCCACAGGAUCCGGGACAGGGGGAG